UGUGAUGACUGGUACAGGGGUACGGACCUCAGCUAAGUCAUGGGAGCUGAAUGUGUAUGUUUCUCUACUGUCCUGUGUGUGGCGGACUGAUGGUGGAUACUUACAUGAGACAAAAAUAAAUAAAUAAA
rfam:Erinaceus europaeus unplaced genomic scaffold scaffold00598, whole genome shotgun sequence